GGAAGGAUUGAUGGGAAAGGUGUUAUGGAGAGGAAGUGGAAACAAAACAGAACUAUUAGAAUUGAAGAGGGCAAAAGUAUAUAUGACAUCUUUGAGACUAAAGGAGGAGAGGAUGAGACUUGUCUUUGACCAUUUUGCAAUAAGUACGGAAAAGAGUGGAUGGGUUAGAAAUAAAGAAUGGCUAGAAAGAGUAACUAAUGCAAGAGGGAGAGA
rnacentral:lncRNA from 1 species